rnacentral:rRNA from 1 species
UUCGCCCUUUUCCGGUUGAUCCCGCCGGACCCCACUGCUAUCGAGGUGGGACUAAGCCAUGCUAGUUGAGCGCACAGAACUAUGUCUGUGAGCGGCACACUGCUCAGUAACACGUAGCUAACCUACCCUUAGGACGUGGACAACCCCGAGAAAUUGGGGCUAAUCCGCGAUAGAUGUAUUGUCCUGGAAUGGUAUUACGUCUAAAGGUAUCCCAUACAUGUUUGGUAUACGCCUAAGGAUGGGGCUGCGGCCGAUCAGGCUGUUGGUGAGGUAAUGGCUCACCAAACCUUUGACCGGUACGGGCCAUGAGAGUGGUAGCCCGGAGAUGGACACUGAGACAAGGGUCCAGGCCCUACGGGGCGCAGCAGGCGCGAAACCUCCUCAAUGCACUUACGUGCGAAGGGGCUACCUCGAGUGCCACCUGAUGAAGGUGGCUUUUCCUAGGUCUAAAAAGCCUUGGGAAUAAGAGGGGGGCAAGACUGGUGUCAGCCGCCGCGGUAACACCAGCCCCUCGAG